UGGAUGGCUGGGCUGGAUACCAAGAAGCGGUUUACCGUCCCACAUACAUACUCAAAAUGUAUGUGGGACGGUAAACCAUUUCUUCAAGUACCGC
rnacentral:miRNA from 1 species